rnacentral:rRNA from 1 species
AUUGAACGCUGGCGGAAUGCUUUACACAUGCAAGUCGAACGGGAGUAGCAAUACUCUAGUGGCGAACGGGUGAGUAAUACAUCGGAACGUACCCUGACGUGGGGGAUAACACAUCGAAAGGUGUGCUAAUACCGCAUACGUCCUGAGGGAGAAAGCGGGGGAUCGCAAGACCUCGCGCGUUUGGAGCGGCCGAUGGCGGAGUAGCUAGUUGGUGGGGUAAAGGCCUACCAAGGCGACGACCCGUAGCUGGUCUGAGAGGACGACCAGCCACACUGGGACUGAGACACGGCCCAGACUCCUACGGGAGGCAGCAGUGGGGAAUUUUGGACAAUGGGGGAAACCCUGAUCCAGCCAUUCCGCGUGAGUGAAGAAGGCCUUCGGGUUGUAAAGCUCUUUCGGCAGGAACGAAACGGUGAGGGCUAAUAUCCCUUAUCAAUGACGGUACCUGAAGAAGAAGCACCGGCUAACUACGUGCCAGCAGCCGCCGUAA